GGGGGUGUAGCUCAGUUGGCAGAGCGCCUGCCUUGCAAGCAGGAGGUCAGGAGUUCGACUCUCCUCAUCUCCACCA
rnacentral:tRNA from 1 species